rnacentral:lncRNA from 1 species
AUACUAGAGUUUUGGAAAAACCCCCAGGCAAAGUGUACCGGGAUUGCUCUGUAUAUUUCUUUCAACUGAAAGUGACUCUACAGUUAUGUCAGUAAAAUUUGCAAUUAAAGAUAAAUGAGUUAAAAGGACAUGGAAACCCUGGGUAGGUGGCAAUUACAUCCCAAAUGUAAGAGAGCUGACCUUGGGGCUACUAUUAGCCAAUUUUGAGAAGCUGUGAUAGGAAUGUUGCCAAAAAUGGGAAAUGCUGUUCCCAUUUUCCUAAGUGGUCUUCGCAUUUCUCUUAAUCCCUGAGUAGUUUAGAAUAGACUCUUAACUAGAUGACAGUAAUUGGAAAAUAAUAAAGAGGUCACCAGAAGCCAAUAAGGGUUCACUAAGAACAUUCAUGAUGGUAGCCGGAUUCCCAGUCUAUAGUGGGUGCAUCUUCAUUUCAACAAAGCACUCAAAAAAUCCCAUAUCGAAUUUUUGAAAAUAAGAUUGUACAGUUAGUUGGGGAUAGCCCACUGAGUGACUCUUGCUAGAGAAUGUUGAUUUUCUUGGCUUUAGGCCACACAAAAGGAAGGGCAAUAGCAAAAACCUAUUUUUAUUCGGAACUUGAAAAAAAAGUAGAGGCCCUGGUUAAAAAAAAUUGCAGAUGAUGUAAAGCUCUCAAAAGAAUGCUUCAUUAUGAUGAGUGGCAGUGUCAUUUCACAUUGGUGUGGAAGUGCUGGGAUAAUGGGCCCAAACUAAUGAAAAAUUUUUUUUAAUUAAAAAGCAACACUGGAGUUCCCUUUUGGCUCAGUGGCUUAAGGAUCUGGUGUUGUCAUUGCUGUGGCUCAAGCCACUGCUGUGGCAUGGGUCUGCUCUCUGGCCUGGGAAUCUCCAUAUGCUGUAGGCAUGGCCAAGAAAGAGAAAAAAGAAAUAAAAAGCAACAACUAGCCCUAAUUGCAGCUUAAAAGAAUACUCAUACGCGUGCAGGAUGACAGAAAAGGAGCUUCAUGAGAGGUCACGUGUGGGGAAAAAAAAAGCAAACAGAGGGAUUUAAUUGAUGCUACAAUUGGCGUAGCAUCCCAGUCCUGGGAGUGACCAGGACUGACUCUGGGCAGAGUCUAGGAAAAAAUAAGAGAUCGGAUUGAGGCCCUCACCCUGGAGAGGGGGUAGUUAAUGGCCAGAGGGGAGAUGUACCCAAGGAAGGGACCUGUGAUAACAAACCUGACUAGCAUCCAUGAGGACGCUGGUUUGAUCCCCGGCCUUGCUCAGUGGGUUAUGGAUCUGGUGUUGCCGUGAGCUGUGGUGUAGGUUGAAGAUGCGGCUCAGAUCCUGCUUUGCUGUGGCUGUGGUGUAGGCCGGCAGCUCAGCUCCGAUUUGACUCCUAGCCUGGGAACCUCCAUAUGCCAUG